UUGGAUUCUGCCCAGCCCCUGGGUUCUAAGAUUGCUGUCCCAUUCCACAGAGGUGAAUGCCGAUACUCGCCCAGCUGUUCCUGACGGGCCCCGGGGUCUCUCUCUGCCCCUCUUCCCUGCCUGCCGCACUCACAGCAUCAGGUGGCUGCGCUCAAGCUCGCUGCGGUCCAGGGCCCCGCCGGUGAGGUCCGCCUGCUCCGGUGCCUUCUCCCAGUCCUUUAGCGCUGCCUCCGAUGGGGACUCGAAAACUUCAUCCGGGUAUGUGGACAGCUCUUCAUGGAGGAUACCUUCCUGAGCAAACACAUGAGGUCAGGGUGGACACAGGCAGGAAGGGAACGUGGGGUGGGGGGACACCCCGGGCACUUCUUACCCGGGCAAAGAAGGAUGUGUCCAGCUCAUCGGGGAAAUCAGUUGUGUCCUCCUCCAGAAAGCUAGCUGGAGUGAAGCUUCGACGCUGUGCCCGGCGAAAGGUGCCAUCCCUAACGGAGCGGCCCUGGGGACGGGGAAGUGAGCAUGAGACCCGGCUGCUGGGUCGGCCCCCAACCCCGCCUUUGGCCCCUGCACCCACUUUC
rnacentral:lncRNA from 1 species